AGGGAAAGCAUUGCUUCUCUCCUGCUUGUUGGCCGAGGCAAGAUUGAUUGGCUGCACUGGCGAGAGCACAGCGCACAUCAAGGACUCCACAGCAUCCUGGCACCAUGACCAGCACAGAGCUGCUGCUGGGGACAAGCUGAAGCCUUUGUCCUUCCUGGGAGAGCAGCUCUGAAUGUGACAGUCUGCAGACUUGGGCAUCAGUUCAGCCAGCUUCCUCAUCUCAGCGUAUCUGCAGAUCCACCCAGCAGCCGUGGUGUCCCCUGCGCUCCAGCAGCACGCCAGGGAGCCCGAGGGGAUGGCAGCAAAGGGGGCACACAGAGGGAAGAGAAGGGGUAAAGCUUUGGGGUGCCAGGGUGGAGAGAGGGGCUGGGGAGCAGUCAGGGAAUCACUGCCAUGGAGGGCACGGUG
rnacentral:lncRNA from 1 species